rnacentral:lncRNA from 1 species
CCUAAUUUUCUUACAAUUUCAAAAUAUAAAUAUCAUAUCUUAAUAAUUUAUAAUGACGUCACCAAUAUUCUCCCUAUUGUCUCAAAAAAGUGGCAACCUUUGCAGAAGGGAGGAUCUUCUAAAAGAACAAAAUGAAAAAAGAUAAGAAUUCUAACUUGGGUCUUGCGCCGGGCAUUGCCUGAAGCAGACAGCCAGAGGCAAUCUUUCAGGAAUGGAGUGAGGAAGAAAUGGGGAGGGAGAGCUGCCACAGUGUGAGCUGCCCUAUGGAGAGGCCUCUAUAGCAAGAAAGUGAGGCCUUCAGUCCAGCAACCCUCAAGCAACUGAAACCUGCCAACAACCACAUGAGUCAGCUUGGAAGUGGAUCCAUUACCCAUCAGGCUUUCAGAUGAGACCACAGCCCCGGCUGCCACCUUGAUUCCAACUUCAUGAGAGAUCCAGAGACAGAGAACCUAGCUAAUCUGUGACUAGAUUCCUGACUCACAGAAACUAUGAGAUAAUAAAUGUCUGUUGUUUUAAGCUGCUAAAUUCUAGGUAAUUUGUUACACA